AUUGAACGCUGGCGGCAGGCUUAACACAUGCAAGUCGAACGAGUGGCGGACGGGUGAGUAAUGUCUGGGCAACUGCCUGAUGGUGGGGGAUAAUUACUGGAAACGGUAGCUAAUACUGCAUACCAUCAGAUCUCCCCAGAUGGGUUUAGCUUGUUGGUGGGGUAACGGCUCACCAAGGCGACGAUCCGUAGCUGAUCUGAGAGGAUGACAAGCCACACUGGAACUGAGACACGGUCCAGACUCCUACGAGAGGCAGCAGUGGGAAAUAUUGCACAAUGGGCGCAAUCCUGAUGCAGCCAUGCCGCGUGUAUGAAGAAGGCCUUCGGGUUGUAAAGUACUUUCAGCGGGGAGGCGUUACCCGCAGAAGAAGCACCGGCUAACUCCGUGCCAGCAGCCGCGGUAAUUC
rnacentral:rRNA from 1 species